UGCCAGCAGGCAGGCAGCAAGGAAGGAAGAAGGGAGGGAGGGAAGGAGGGAGGGAGCAGGGUGGCCAGCACUGGCUGCCUUUGCCCACCACAGCUCUGCCCAGCUUUUGACCCUUCAGGCUUAGUAAUGGAGGUCUUCGAUCUGCAAAUGACAUCAUGCUGUAGGGCUCCUUGGCCCAAGUACUCAAAGGAGUCUUCAGAAAAUUCUGCCUCAAAAGUAUUCCCCUGAAGCUUUCACCUUAAAGGAAGAAACCACACUCAUCUCAGGGAAAGCCAUUCAUCGUGGCUGCAGUCCAGAUGUGAAUAGAUGAAUACUGAUACUUAGCCUAAUAACUUUCUGAAGACUGUAAACAAACUGCUAUCAAUACAACACCAGCAUAGAGAAGUCACAAUGUAUAUUACUCAUUUAUUUCUAAAAUAGCCUACUCAAAUCAGAGUAACUAAUCUCCUUUCCAUUGACUGGGGAGACAUGCAGGUAAGGGUGUCUUAGCCAGGAGCAGAGGCAAUGGUGUAGCCAAUGGUGGAGAAGCCAAAGGUGAUAGAGGUGCAACCAUGCUAGAUGACUAAGGCAAUACAACACAAUGCAGAAUAAUAUACCAGGCAAAAAGCACAGUAGCCCUUAGGACUUGUGGAAAAGGGCUACAAGUCCUAAGGGCAACUGUGCUUUUCCUCCUGAUGGACUGCUCUGCAGUAUGAUUUGGUGGCUGUGGGGAGAUGUUUUGGAGGUGGGAUGCUGAGGGAGAUAUCUUGCUACAUGAGACUACAAAGGGGCAUGCUGUGAUGAGUGAAAAUACUUGUGUUAUGAAUUCAACUAAGAUUUCCCAUUUGUAAUUUUUCCUUUGCUGAAAGUUAAUAGCCUGUAUCAAUAUAGUUCUGACAGUUGAGUUUACAAUCCAAAAUAGCAAGAAAAGUCCUCUUUGUGGUGGCAGACUUACAAAACCUGAGUAACUUGUCCAAACUGCCAACAUGCCCAAGAACUCAAACAAGAACCAUAGUUUGCUUAAAGUUUGAAUGGACCAAGUAACAUUGUGCCAGGUGAAGUAUCUGCAAAUGAAAAGUAAUGCUGCAAAUGCAAUAUCAGCUUUAGUGAACUCUAUCAAACUCCUGAGAGGUCCAGGUGGACAAAGGCUGCUUAAUUUGACUUGGCUGACCUGUCAAAUUUACUCUUGCAAAAGUCCAAUGAAGCUGCAGACACCAAGACUUGUGUAAAUCAAAAUAAUAUUGCUAAUAAAGUCUUAUGGCAGCUUACAGGCUAGUACUUCUAUGAAGAGAAGAACAUUCUACUGCACAAUGAGGAUGCAAUUUUUGCCAGUACCCCUUCCCUUUGCAGCCCCCUGUAUCCCAUAAAAUUGUCCCUGAGGGUCUCCCAAUGCUCUACCUCUUCGCCUAAGUAGAAUGUCUGGAUGCUGCCUUCUGAUACUUGUUACUGCCCUCUAUUAGGUGUUAUUCUUCCGAAACAAUUGUUGUGUCUUGAAAUACCUAGGGAACUAAAGGACUGUCUAGAUGCAUCAUUAUUAUUAUUGCAGAUUACAAUUUGUGAGAUGGACAGAACUCUUCUCACAAGAACUGACAGCCCAAACUACCAGAUAAGGAACUGUUAGAGAAACUUUGGUGAUCUAGAAAGACAGUGUUGUACAAACUGGCCUGGGUAGCAGAUUGCAUCCCAUUGUGUACUUGAAUAAAUAACAACUCUUGCUCCAGGAAAGAAACCACUUCACCAUGAAAAGCAAUACUAUACUACAGAUUCUGAAUAUAUUGUAAACUUCUCUGUUGGGAAGAAAGGACAGAAUUCCCUUUCAUGCUUCAGACAUUCCACACUGUCCUGUGAUGGUUCCAUGAAGGCUUUUUAAAAAACAAACAACAACAACAACAAAACCUUACAUGUAGGGGAAUUUCCCCUCCAGACCUUAUGAAUGCCUUCUCAUGAACUCAAAAUCCCCCCAUUUAUGUACAGCCCUUUUCAUUCUGCUGCACCUCUCCGGAUGUACUGGUGGUUACAUAGUCUCACAGCCAGAGCUGUGGUGGUAGAACACUAUACAACAGAUCAAGAAAGCCCUUUAUAGGAAUCUCUUGGACUUUAUAGACAGAGGCCAAAUUUGGAUGUAAUAGGAGACUGGAGGUCCCUUCACCUCAAGGUUGCAUAACCGCAUGUCCAAAUGCUGGAUACCAGAGCUAAGGGUGAAAAGGGACCCAUGGUUUCCCUCCCCUAACUGCACUUUGAACCAUCAGUCAGAGUGUAGUUUCGCUGCCAGCGUUUUGUGGUGCCAGCGUUAUGUCCUAAUGCUGGCAUUGCAGUUUUGGCCCCAUAGAACUGGAGUUGAGGGAAGAAGCUCCUCCUCUCUGGCCUGAUUGGCUGUGUGGGCUGUCAAGAAGGAAGCCCACACAGCCAGCUCCCCCCACCUCUCUACAGAAUUGCUGACAGCAGAGAGGCAUCUGUCCCCAAUGUCUGGACGCGGAUAAAAAAGCAGGGGAAGGAGGCAUGGAACCAUUGGAACCGCAGUUCCGUAUUACAUGUGAAUUUGCCUAGAGAGUAGCAUGUCUCUUGCAGGAGACAUCCAGGUUGUGGCCAAAUGUGCUUGUUCCUUUCUCCUGCAGACAAUCAGAGUAAUUGAUUCCAAUAAAUGCAGGAACCAGUGCUGCUGUUGAAUUUACAGGCCCCAGAACAUACGUGUAGUUAGCCUUAAUGUACAAGUUUGACUGGGCUUUUAUUUUUAAAAACCUGAAUUUGAGUGGCAAAUGAACAAUUCUCAGACCGGAUGCUUCUCAAAGGUGCCAAGCUUAGCUUAGGAACACAAGAGCAGAAGGUUCCCAGGGCUUUGGAAGUCAUGUUGACUGCAUAAGAGCUACAUGCUGUUUUAUCUUGGCAGAAAAAAUGAGCUGUUAAUGUGUUUGCAUUUGUGAAAAGGACUGUUGUUUGUGAAUAUUUUUUGUGCUGUCUCUGGGAAAGGGAAGACAUAGGAUGGGGUUUGUAGUAAACCCAGAGUUUGCAAUAGUGGAAAAAUUAGGCAGACAAGUGAGGUGUUGAGGGAGAAGUAGCAUGAGUUCUGAAUUUCCUUAAAUUACAAUAAUUUCUUAUUAAAAUACGUGUAUCAUAAUAUAUCCUUAUUGGUAUGAAUGUGUGUUUUAAAGUGUAUGUUAAAUAUGCCUCUUUUCAUAUUAUAAAAGUAGCUGGUUGAGUUCA